rnacentral:lncRNA from 1 species
UGUCAAUAGGAUAAUAUUAAAGUUUCGUUAAGAAAUUUUAAUGUUUCGAUAGUUAAUUAUGAAAAAGGAUUAAAUUGCAAUAGGGAUAAAAGUUUAAUUAUAGAUUAAAGAAAAGUUAAAAGGACCAAAUAGGAAAUUAUGCCUUUUUCUAAAGUUGAGGCGGCAUAAUGAAAGAAAUAUCUGAGAUAUUCUAGUUAAUAUAUAUAUAUAUAUAUAUGUAAGUAAUGAUUAUUAUUAAUAUUUUAUAUUAUAUUAUAUUAUAUAUAUAUAUAUGACAAAGAAAGAAAGAAAAGAAACAGAGAGCAAAACAAAACAGAGAAGGGAGAAAGAAAGAAACAGAGAGCAAAACGAAACAGAGAAGGAAGGAAGGAAAGAAAGAAAGAAAAGAAAAGAAAAAGGGAAAUUUGGGGUU